CAGCGCUCAGGGCUGCUCUCUGUCCCGGGGUGGGGCCAUGCCAGGUGACAGGGCCCCUGUGCCCCCAGCCAGAGACGUGGGGACCAGGGCGGAGACGCCGGGCAGCUCAGGAGAUGUCUCUGUGACAGAAGCUCGGUGGAGGGGUCUCUGCCAUGUGGGGCUGGGCCCUGCUCCCUGUCCUGCUGGCCAUCUGGGGCACUGUGGGCUUCUGGGUGGUAUACGCCAUGUCCGUGGCCAACGGGUCUGUGAACGUCACAGUCGGGUUCCCGUAUAUCAGGUAGGUGGGUCAGAUGCUGAUCUCAGGUCCAGGGGUCAAUCUGGAGUCACUCCUGUUU